AAGUCGUAACAAGGUUUCCGUAGGUGAACCUGCGGAAGGAUCAUUACCGAAUUGUCAAACGGGUUGUUGCUGGUCCUCGAGAGGGGACAUGUGCACGCUCUGUUUACACAUCCACUCACACCUGUGCACCCUCCGUAGUUCUAUGGUCUGGGAGACCUUGUCUUCCUGCCGUGGUUCUACGUCUUUACACACACACUGUAACAAAGUCUUAAGGAAUGUAUGCAGCGUCUAACGCAAUACAAUACAACUUUCAGCAACGGAUCUCUUGGCUCUC
rnacentral:misc_RNA from 1 species